UACGUAGGUGGCAAGCGUUGUCCGGAUUUACUGGGCGUAAAGCGAGCGCAGGCGGACUGUUAAGUAGGAAGUGAAAGGUCGGAGCUCAACUCCAACAUUGCUUUCUAUACUGGCAGUCUUGAGUCACGGAGGGGAAAGCGGAACGACACGUGUAGCGGUGAAAUGCGUUGAUAUGUGUCGGAACACCAAUGGCGAAGGCAGCUUUCUGGACGAUGACUGACGCUCAGGCUCGAAAGCCAAGGUAGCGAACAGG
rnacentral:rRNA from 1 species